UAGUCUCUAAGGUGCCACAAGCACUCCUUUUCUUUUUGUGAAUACAGACUAACACGGCUGCUACUCUGAAACCUAUACUUCUUUUCUGUGUCUCUUAAUACAAGGUUAAAGGAUUUUAAAUGGUGUUUGCCAUGGUGCAAAGCAGCCUGAGGUCUCUGUGUACUGAACCAUGAACCUUUAAUGUUGGACAGUGACUGGGUUAUGUUAACAUCUCUGGCCCAUUUAUUCCAUCUAAAUCAAUACAACAGUGCCUCCCAUAAAGAGGGCAGCUGCCAGCUUCUCUUUAGAAAACACGAGUACGGGCUUUGUUCAGGAAGCCAUGUUUUGACCUUGACAAUAUGGCUAAUCACUGCUCUGUAUCUAAUCUUCCCUCUGUGGUUAAGAUUAUUGAAAGGUUGUGUUAUUGCAGCCCUCACAGUCUCUAGUUGCCUCAGAGUUCCUUGACCUCUGUGAAUAUGGGUAUGCAUAACGACUACUUGUGGUGAUCAAUGAGAAACAAGUGUCCAUGCCAGUAUUACAAAGUGAACUGGAUUGAAUACAAGGCCAUUCGAAGGAGAACAAGGAAGUACUGGUUGUGGUGCCUUCAGGAUGAAACCCAGCUUUAUGUUUCUCUCUCUUCCAACUCAGGUGGAGCAGAUGAAUGCCUUUUCCAGUGACUGGGUGAGAUGGAACACCAACAGUUAGUAAAGACACAGGUGAUGUUGGUUAACUGAGGAAAGCAAAUGGAAGAUCUGACUGAAAGGAUCUGGCCACCAUUUGUAGCUUGUAUUGGCUACCUCAGAAUCUGAUUGGAUUCCCAGUUAUUGUUGGAUGAUCGCAUUUCAGCAGCGGCUGCACAGCCCUCUUUUAUUUGUGGCUAACCAAGAAGUUGUGACCUUGUAUUUUGGACGUGGGCUUGGCCACUUAUCUAUGGCUUUGUCAACUCCCUCUCAGACUAUUACAAUGUGUUCCCUACUUGAAGUUAACUCUUAAAUCCAUUCAGAAACUGAAGCGAGUACAGAAUUCAGUAGCCUACUUUUUAAGCAGAGUAUCUCACCUCAAGUACAUUUCACUAGUGCUUCAUUAUCUUCACAGGCUGCCUUUGGGGGUUCUGGGAGCACUUUAAGGUAUUAAUUUUGACCUAUAAAGCCAUGUUAAAUGGCCUGGGGCCUUCUUACCUGAGAGACCCACUCCCCUAUGCCGUACUGCAACAACUGAGAUCAGCAGAGGCAUUCAAGCUGCAGCUUCCUUGGUUGAGAGAGAAGCAGCUUCUUGCAGGGCACUUUCUGUGAAAACACCCCAACUUUCAAGCUUUUACACCUACCAAUCUGAUACAGCCUAAUCUGUGGACCUUCAGGGUAUGCUGCAAAGUUCACCUUUUUACUGGCUUUUGGGGGCAGGGGAGAGUAGAGAGAGGAUGGAAUGGUCCCCUGAAGGGUAAUACUGGAAGGAGGGGGGAGGGGAGGGUGAUAUCUUUUUGAUGUAUAGGAUAGCUGUUUACUUCUGAUUUAUAGUAGAGUUUGCUUCUGGUUUUCCCUUAAGUGUCAAGGGUGCCAAGUGUCUGGGGUAGGUACAUUAGAAUUCUAAAGAAGUAAAAUAAAUAUUUGUCAAUUUUGUAGGGCUAAUAUGUAGUGUUAUCAGAACAUAUAUUGUAAUGUUCUGUGCUUGGCAUGAUAGUUAUAAACAGCAUUUCCCCGGCUAAAGACAGAUCAAUGAGUCAUUUUAAUCCAACAAGGUUUUCAAAAAAUAACCCAGUGAUUCAUAAAGUAGAUUCCUUCUCUUUUUAGGAUGGUUCAUGGGAAUUGUGAGAUUCUGCAGCUCUUCCCUUGUUCCCAAAACGGAAUGUCAGUGCAACAAUGUAUACAAAUUAAAUCACAUCUCUCUGAAAUACACCGUGGAAAAUGGGAGAAAUGAGCUGUUUAUCUUAGAAAGCUUUAAUCAGUAUGUAAGAGUAACUUAUCAAUAGGUGAAUAGAAACAUUUAUUAAAAAUGAAAACAACCUACAGAUUUGGCAGCCUGCUCACUGCAGGUCAAAAAUCAAACACAGCAAGCGGUUUGAACAACUGUAUGUGGAAUCAUGCUCAGUUCUUUCCCACUCUCACCAAUGAAAACAAAUCCUCACUCUUUCCCUUUCGCAAUUAUUAGAAGUUAAAGAAAAAAAAUGAAAAUGAAGACUAAACAAGCAAUCACUGGCCAAUGUAAAGCGGUCCACACAGCUGCAACAAAUGUGUGGUUUGCAUUUUACAAUGAAAACACCAAGCACAGCACUGGUUUAGGAGAACACAUUAGCAUUUGCACAAUAUGCUCCACUUUUACUCACAGCAUCAUGCUUUCUGGAGCCUCCCCUAUCAUCAGCACCAGUGGGGAAAACAAGGUGAAUCAGCCAAGUCUACUAAUCAGUAAAAGGAAGCACAAGUAGACAAUUACUCAGUAUAUUACAAUUCCUUAUACAAAAAAGGGUGCCAACAUGCUUUACGAACAACUGGAGAAAGGGUUCCAGCUCCAAACUUACAAAUUAAACAGACAACAUAACAUUUAGGAUGGGGGUAAGAUGCAUAAAACAAACAAACAAGAAACGGGGGUAAAUAUACGUGUGUGCUUUGAGAGUCUCAAUGAUUUUGUGCUAUUUGUAAAUACUGCAGUUGAUUUUGUUAAUCUUACUGAAGUGAGAACUACAGAGAUGUAGGCUCACUGGAAAUAAUAUGUUUUAAGGAGAGACUUGGAGGUGAAGAGGGUAGAGGCAUGGCAUAUCAGGCAGGGAGGGAAUUUCAGGCAUAAGGGGCUUUGUGGAAAGUGCACAGAUGAGACUGAGAGAACAUGUAAGAGGCAGUUAAUUGUAUGGCUUGUGCAACAACAGGGAAUCACAAUGGUGAAUCCAGUACAGACAUUUGUUUUAUCCUUCCAAACAAAUCAGCUAGGUCUAAGUUCCAAGUGGCAUGUCAAAGGCAGUAAAAAUUAAUCUAGGGAGAUUUUGUACCUGUACAAGAGAGAAAAUUAUUAGUCCUAAGGGGCAGAAGGGAGGGACAGACAAAUAAUGUGGGGGUAGAGGAGAAAAUAUAAACCUCUGUCAUUCAGUAAGUCCAAUUCCAUCUCUACUUCCUCACAACAUGUGUCUUUAGGAGUAUGAUCCGGCCCAAGAACAGCAGUAAAGGCUAAGGGACAGGAAAAAGGAGCAGGGAAAUAGGCUUAGGUACCAGAGGCAGUAAAAGGAAAAAUGUAAAUCAGACAACCAGAAGAGCAUCAAGGAGAAAGUCACAGAGGCUUGGUACUGGCAAUGGUUCUCAACUUUUUUGGGUUCAGGACCCAUUUGUAAAUGUUUAUGGCCUGUCAAGACCCAGAAAAUAGUCCGGGGGUAGAGGCCCUGGGGUGGUUUUGGUUGGAUCCUGCCCCCCGGGAGGCUUGGGUCCUGCCUGGCACUCACCCCACAGUGGCAGCUUCUGUGCUGAGGGGCUGGCUAAACUUUGCUCUCUGCUCCAGGUAUUGCAACCUCUGGGGUUGCAAUGCCCCAGCCCCAUGACUGGACCAAAUUUGUUUGAGUGGCGUUAUGACCUGGCUCAUAGGGUUGCAGUGUCACUCGCUCAAAUUUGAUCUACCUGGACUCCUGUCAUGAUGGCUGGGGCAAACCUGACUGGCGGCACUCGGACCCCAGAGGUUGCAGUGCCUGGAGCAUGAGAUAGGAGACACAGGAGCUGCCACACAACCCUUUGAAACGUUCUGGCGACCCAAUUUUGGGUCCCAACCCACUGGGUAAAAAACCCUGAACUAGAGCCUCAAUGAGAACUAGGGGGAAAGAAAACUACCUCUGCAGCAGUGGGCACUUGCAGGUUUAAACUAUUGUAAAUGGUGGAGUCUCUGUUCACUUGAAGUCUUUAAAUCAUAAUUUGAGGACUUCAGUAACUCAGCUAGAGGUUAUAGCUCUAUUACAGGAGAGGGUGGAUGAGGUUCUGUGACCUGCAAGGUGCAAGAGGUCAGACAAGAUGAUCAUGAUGGUCCCUUCUGGCCUUAAAGUCCAUGAGUCUACAUAAGAAGGGAAUGAGGACAGUUUUGUACCCUAAUCUUUUUGCUUAGAAACAUUCCCAUCAAUACAGAAUAUGAAGUUUCUUCUUCAUCACUAUGCAGGGUUCACAGAGAUGGACCAAGAAAAUGGUGUUUGCAUCUGGAUUAAGUUUAGAUUUAGUUUUGGGUUAGUCAGCACCAACUUGUUCUUGUGCAACUUUGCUCCAAAGAAAGAUGGAAGUUUUAGAAAGUCAGUUGUUCAUUUGAAUCUUGGCUGCAUCCAGACUAGGAUACAUAUCCCCUUCUAGUGUUGGAUUUGAUGUGAAACAAAAAUUGUACGAAUAGGCAUGGAUAAAGAAAAUUCAAAUAUAUAGCCUGGCCCAAAUUCAUCAUUCUAAUUCUGGCCAUCUCUAUUUACAUUAUAACUGAGCAGGAAAAUUAGCAGAGUAGAAGUACCAGGAAAGGGUAAAUUGGAUAGGAGGUGAAGCACAAGUUGGAGACCUAUUGAUAUUAAAAACAUGAACUAGAAAAGGACAGUUAAUAGCAGCAAAUGGGAUCACAAAGCAGCACAGGAAAGGAUUGCUCUCCGUAAUAAGACUACAUGAGACACACACAUAGAACAAAAUUCAAACAGACAAUUAGGCCAGAUCUACACUGCAAAAAAUUUUAAGUGAUUGCAAUAAUGCUUAAAUAACCAAAGGAAGUUUUAAUUCAGAAAAUCUUAAAUAUUUAAGAAUGACAUUGCCAUUACAUAGAGUGCCAGUUGUGCAUUUGGCUCCAGAGGGCUAUGCAACAGAGAAUUCUAAUAAAAAGAAUUACAGAAAAUGCAACAAUGGCCAAAAUGUUAAAUGCCUUUUAGCUUUAGUUUUCACCCAAAAAAUUAGCAGUGAUUGGACAACUAAACAGCGAACAUCAGCAUAAAUGGGAUAGGAUCUGAGGCUAAAAUAGGAAAAGAACAAGUUAAGAAUUACUUAGACAAGUUAGAGGUCUUCAUAUCAGCUGGGCCGGAUGAAAUAAUCCUAGAAUACUUAAGGAUCCGGCAGAAGAGAUCUAUGAGCCAUUAGUGAUUAUCUUUGAGAACAUGUGGAAAACAGAAGAGAUCCAAGAGGACUGGAAAAGGGAACUAUAGUACCUAGCAUGAAAAAGAUGAAUAAGGACAACCGAUGGAAUCACAGACAAGUCAGCUUAACUUUGGUACCCGGAAAGAUAAAAGGAGCAAAUAAUCAAACAAUCCAUCUGUAAGUACCUAGACAAAAAUAAGGUAAUAAAUAACAGUUAACAGUCAAGAACAUAUGUCAACCCAACCUAAUAUCCUUUUUUGACAGGGUAACAAGCCUUGUGGAUAGAGGGGAAGCAGUAGAUGUAAUAUAUCUUGACUUUAGUAAGGCUUUAGACACUAUUUUACAUGACCUCUUAAGCAAACUAUGGAAAUAUUGCUUAGAUGAACCUCCUAUAAGGUGGCUGCACAACUGGUUGGAAAAGCAUACUCAAGAAAUCUCCUUGGUUUUCUGACAGCCUGAUCCAGAUGACAAGAAGAAAAUGGCACAAAACAAGAAGAUUAAACAUCAGUGGCAUCUAGCCCUUCUAUGUGAAGCUAAAGUGCUGCAAUAGAUCUCAUCAAAUGAGAAGGUUAAGAGAUGAUGUCAUCAAAGUCUGUAAAUACCUACGUGGACAAAAUUUUUAACAGUAGAAGAUUCUUUAAUGGACAAAGACAUAACAAAAUCUAAUCUCUGGAAGCUGAAGCUAGACAAAUUCAGACUAGAAAUAAGGUUCAAAUUUUUAACAUAAGGAUAAUUAAUCACUGGAACAGCUUUUCUACGGAUGUCAUGGAUUAUCCAUCAUUUGAAGUCUUUAAAUCAAGAUUGGAUAUCCUUCAUAACAUAUUCUGCAACUCCGCCAGAAGUUAUGGGCUUGAUCCAGGAAUUAUUGGUGAAAUUCUAUGGUCUGUGUUAUAAAGGAGGUCAGAUUAGAAGACCACAUAGUCCCCUUCUGGCUUUAAAAUGUAUGAAUCAUAAUUAUGACCUCAAAUUUUUUUAAGGUCUUAAUAAUACAUUACACACUUUCAAACUGACAGUAUGUCUUUCAAUAAAAUAAUAAUCUCCCCAAGGUCAGAAUCUGAGUACAUUUUAACCAACUGAAUGCAAGUGAAUUUGUAUCACAAGUGAGAGGAAGUUUGUCAUAUUGUUGAAGAGUCUGGGUUUAUUUUACUGAUUGCGUUGAUUGGAAAUUCAUUAGUUAUUACUAUUAUUUAUUAUUUGAGUGACUAAGUUAUUAAGAGUUGUGUGUUGUGCAUUCCCUUUUAGCUUUAAGUGAGUGUGGGGGAGGGGGUAGCAGACAACACAGCACAGGUAGUAAUCUUGGUGGAGAUAGAGAAAGUAGAGGCUUGGGAAUGGGGAGGGCAGCAGAGAGGUUGUGUGGUGAUGUCCCAGGGUAGCAGGGAUUGCAAGUUGUAAGUAUGUAAGCAGGAGUGGGGUAUAAAGGUGAUAUCGGAGUUUGAGGAGCUCAGGUAAUGAGGUGAGUGGGGCUUCGUACAGGAGGAGAAGCAAAAAGGCAGAUAAGGAUUAAAGCUUUUCCUGCCUUCUCUGCCCGCAGAUUACAAUGAUUAGCAACACAGAGGCCCUUCUUCCUGGCAAGCCGUAACAAGUGCUACACACCUCCAUGCUCCCCCACAUUCCAACUCUUUCCCCAUCCCCUGCAAAUGAUGCAUUAACUUCCUGCUAGUUCCCAAAACUGCUGAGCUGCACGGUAUUUGGCAACAUGAGUCCCAUUGUGAUUCUUCUCCUACAGAGGAGUGCAGCAGAUUUCUGGCAAUGGAAAACCACAAAAGGCUUGUCAAAUCCAGACCGUGCCCUCUUUUUUUUAAAAUGAAGGUGCAACCUUGUUUUGUCAGCACAGUUUAGCUGAACCCCCUCCUUUUCACCAGCCCCCUCCCACUACUUCAGUCUCUAAUAAUGAGAGUGUCCCGGAGAAGAGGUGGUUACAGCAAUUUGGGCCAACA